CAAGAUAUAGCUAGUUAGAAAGCCCCUCUCUUACACAGAGUUGACAUUCGUGCAAAUCGGAUUAUCUUGA
rnacentral:tRNA from 1 species